rnacentral:rRNA from 1 species
GCAUAUCAAUAAGCGGAGGAAAAGAACCAACAGGGAUUGCCCCAGUAACGGCGAGUGAAGCGGCAACAGCUCAAAUUUGAAAUCUGGCCCCUCUCGGGGUCCGAGUUGUAAUUUGUAGAGGAUGCUUUUGGCGAGGCGCCGCCCGAGUUCCCUGGAACGGGACGCCACAGAGGGUGAGAGCCCCGUCUGGCUGGCCGCCGAGCCUAUGUAAAGCUCCUUCGACGAGUCGAGUAGUUUGGGAAUGCUGCUCAAAAUGGGAGGUAUAUGUCUUCUAAAGCUAAAUACUGGCCAGAGACCGAUAGCGCACAAGUAGAGUGAUCGAAAGAUGAAAAGCACCUUGAAAAGAGGGUUAAAUAGUACGUGAAAUUGUUGAAAGGGAAGCGCUUGUGACCAGACUUGGGCGCGGCGGAUCAUCCGGGGUUCUCCCCGGUGCACUUCGCCGCGUCCAGGCCAGCAUCAGUUCGUCGCGGGGGAUAAAGGCUUCGGGAACGUGGCUCCCCCGGGAGUGUUAUAGCCCGUUGCACAAUACCCUGCGGUGGACUGAGGACCGCGCAUCUGCAAGGAUGCUGGCGUAAUGGUCACCAGCGACCCGUCUUGAAACACGGACCAAGGAGUCGUCUUCGUAUGCGAGUGUUCGGGUGUCAAACCCCUACGCGUAAUGAAAGUGAACGCAGGUGAGAGCUUCGGCGCAUCAUCGACCGAUCCUGAUGUUCUCGGAUGGAUUUGAGUAAGAGCAUACGGGGCCGGACCCGAAAGAAGGUGAACUAUGCCUGUAUAGGGUGAAGCCAGAGGAAACUCUGGUGGAGGCUCGCAGCGGUUCUGACGUGCAAAUCGAUYGUCAAAUAUGGGCAUGGGGGCGAAAGACUAAUCGAACCUUCUAGUAGCUGGUUUCCGCCGAAGU